ensembl:lncRNA
UUUUUUUCAAGCUUCCACAGUUAAAGAGCCUAUUAUUCCAAUUCUCACCAUUUUUUCACAAGUCUGAUCAACUGUAUCAUAUAUCUUCAUACUAAGCAAUGUGUCAAAUUUCAGUGAUGAACUAAAAUAUUAAGAUUUAAAUACUAAAUGUUCACUAUCUUUUUUUUCUCUUGUGCUCAAGCUCCCUGGGGCUGGCUCAAAGUGUGGAGGUUCAUUAUCAGUUGAGUGUCAAUGUCAGAAAGAGAAAACCCCAACCCUCCUAUAUAAAAAGUACACAUGCACAGAGAUACUUCUUAUUUCAGAUAGAAUCCUAUAAAAUUAGUUGAUAGUAGCAAGGAAAGGAACAACACAUUAAAUGCAUACCUUUGAAGAUCUGCCUAACUCCCUCCUUUGACAUUAUUUUCAUGGCUUUACCUUUUAAAAGGAAAAUAAUUAUCUUGUAAACAACUUUAGUAACAGAUCCUAGCUUCUUACAAGGAACUUUAGAGAUUAAUCCAUCUGACAUCUUAAAAACAAAAUUUAAACAUCAGAAAAUAUAUCCCAAUAUCAAGAGUGAUCAAGAAGGUUUCCAAAAAACUUUAUCCCAAAAGUAUAGGUGAAACAUGUUCUAGAUCUGUAUUUUCAAAACAGCCUAAGUUCCAUCAUAUAAACAAAACCACCAUAUAUGGAAUAUAAUUCAAUUUAAUUUCAUGAUUCAAUUUAAUUUCAUCUAGAUAUGUUUGGACUGGAUGUGACCAAAAUCAGUAACCUAUUUUUCAAUGUCUUGGGCAUGUAGCAACAGCCCACAUCCCAGUGAUUUCCAGGUCCUUUUAUCAUACAGAUAGUUCGUUUAACCAUCUGUUUGGGGCCAGCAAUAACAUGGCUUCAUUUUGUUCAUCCAUUGAGCACUAUCAUUUCAGCAAUGAAGCCUCCCUUGCCUGAAACCCCAUGUGGUUCCAUUUACAGGCCUUUCUGCCUAAUGGUUUUGGAGAUGGAGGUCAGGGAAUCUGAAAGCCUUCUUGAUCUGCUGAGGACUAUGGUGAGCCAAUAAUCCCAUGAUGCAUUGUUCAUUAUGUAAAAAUUGAAAACAAUCUAAAUAUUCAACAGUAAAGGAUUUUCAGAGCUAAAUACCCUUCAUCUUUGUGCAGGGAGAUGAAGAAGUCAAGAAAACUAAUGGAGACUAUUCUUUAAAGGAGAACAGCUGCAAAGGUAGAGAUAGGCAAUAGCUAUAAGAGGAAGGUCUAGGAAUUAUUUUUUACGAUAAGUAAAUAUGUAGUAGAAAUAGCCAAAAGGUGGAAGAACAAAACUAAAUAUAACAAUUAUUUAAAAAUUCAUCAUGUUAAUUAUGUAAGGAAAUUAAAAAGCUUUGGUGGACUGAGUAGAACCUCUUCUCUCUUUCUCUCUCUCUUUUUUACUUCAAUUAUUUAAAAACAUCACCACUAGUCUCUCUUUUUCUCACUUGCUAUCUCUCCCCUCCCCUCACCUCCUUUGCAGCAACCCACUGCUAUCUUUCUCCUCACUUGGUUCAGUAUUCCUGGAAUAUUUAACUGCAUGACAGGAUGAAGAUCAACCA